AAGCUCGUAGUUGAAUUUCGGGAUUGACGUGACGGUCGUGCCUUAAGGGGCGUGAACUGUCGCCGUUGAUUUCUCACCUUCUGGAGAAGCUCGAUGUCCUUAAUUGGAUGUCUUGUGGAACCAGGACCUUUACCUUGAAAAAAUUAGAGUGUUUAAAGCAGGCAUUUUGCUCGAAUACAUUAGCAUGGAAUAAUAGAAUAGGACGGCAUGGUUCUAUUUUGUUGGUUUCUAGGAUCACCGUAAUGAUUAAUAGGGAUAGUUGGGGGCAUUAGUAUUGAGUCGCUAGAGGUGAAAUUCUUGGAUUGACUCAAGACCAACAACUGCGAAAGCAUUUGCCAAGGAUGUUUUCAUUAAUCAAGAACGAAGGUUAGGGGAUCGAAAACGAUCAGAUACCGUUGUAGUCUUAACAGUAAACUAUGCCGACUAGGGAUCGGACAACCUCAAUUUUUAUGUGUUGUUCGGCACCU
rnacentral:rRNA from 1 species